CGGGUGAGUAACGCGUAUCCAACCUGCCCACCACUUGGGGAUAACCUUGCGAAAGUAAGACUAAUACCCAAUGAUAUCUCUAGAAGACAUCUGAAAGAGAUUAAAGAUUUAUCGGUGAUGGAUGGGGAUGCGUCUGAUUAGCUUGUUGGCGGGGUAACGGCCCACCAAGGCAACGAUCAGUAGCCGGUCUGAGAGGAUGAACGGCCACAUUGGGACUGAGACACGGCCCAG
rnacentral:rRNA from 1 species